GGGGAAUAUUGCACAAUGGGGGAAACCCUGAUGCAGCCAUGCCGCGUGUGUUGAGAAAGGCCUUCGGGUUGUAAAGCACUUUCAGUUAGGGAGAAGGUAGUGUAGUUAACACCUGCAUUAUUUGACGUUACCUACAGAAGAAGCACCGGCUAACUCCGUGCCAGCAGCCGCGGUAAUACGGAGGGUGCGAGCGUUUAAUCGGAAUUACUGGGCGUAAAAGCGCAUGCAGGCGGCCUGUUAAGUCAGAUGUGAAAGCCCGGGGCUUAACCUCGGAAUUGCAUUUGAAAACUGGCAGGCUAGAGUCUUGUAGAGGGGGUAGAAUUUCAGGUGUAGCGGUGAAAAUGCGUAGAGAUCUGAAGGAAUACCAGUGGCGAAGGCGGCCCCCUGGACAAAGACUGACGCUCAGAUGCGAAAGCGUGGGGAGCAAACAGGAUUAGAUACCCUGGUAG
rnacentral:rRNA from 1 species